AAGUCGUAACAAGGUUUCCGUAGGUGAACCUGCGGAAGGAUCAUGUAAACGUUUUUCAAACUUAAACAAGGGAGAAGCGGGCCGGGUCGCGGGGGGAAACUUCUGUGGCCUGUCUUGUCUUCUUUCUUUUUAAACCCAUCGCGAACUGGAUUUCGUAGCACUUGGCAUAUCCCGCACUCGCAGAACGACGGACGGCGUGCGCUUUCGAGCACCACGACGGACGUCUCGGCGACUGUGUGUGUGUGUCCUUUUGCGACCUUUUCUCAUUUUUUCACCCCUUUUUGAAAACAUUCAAAACUUUUACAACGAAUCUGUUUUUCUUUUUCUCGCGCUCGUCGCAAGACAAAAAAAACAGUGAUCGCUUCUUUUAAUGCAAAAGAGAACAACUCUUAGCAACGGAUAUCUUGGUUCCC
rnacentral:misc_RNA from 1 species